rnacentral:lncRNA from 1 species
CCUGUAGAUGAUCUCAACACAACCCGAGAUUCUGAUGUAGCCACACAAGCACCUGGCCUCUACCAGUGUCCAUUUAGAUAGGAUCUAGAACAUUUUCUCCUCACAAAUCUAUGCUCCAAAAAUCAGAUCUCUAUCUGAUCUGAAAGUGCUUCAGAACUCCUUCUGAAGUUGGAGCAGUAGCCUGUCGAAGAUGUCCUGCAGCCUUCUG